AGCAGCCGCGGUAAUUCCAGCUCCAAUAGCGUAUAUUAAAGUUGUUGCAGUUAAAAAGCUCGUAGUUGAAUUUCGGGGUCAGCAGGUUGGUCGUGCCAAUGGUAUGCACUGGCCUUGCUGAUUCCUCCCUCUUGAUGAGCCGUAAUGCCAUUAAUUUGGUGUUGCGGGGAAUCAGGACUGUUACUUUGAAAAAAUUAGAGUGUUUAAAGCAGGCAAGCGCUUGAAUACAUUAGCAUGGAAUAAUGAAAUAGGACGUUCGAUCCUAUUUUGUUGGUUUCUAGGAUUGACGUAAUGAUUAAUAGGGAUAGUUGGGGGCAUUAGUAUUCAAUUGUCAGAGGUGAAAUUCUUGGAUUUAUUGAAGACUAACUACUGCGAAAGCAUUUGCCAAGGAUGUUUUCAUUAAUCAAGAACGAAAGUUAGGGGAUCGAAGACGAUCAGAUACCGUCGUAGUCUUAACCAUAAACUAUGCCGACUAGGGAUCGGAUGAUGUUAAUUUUUUAAUGACUCU
rnacentral:sRNA from 1 species